AGCUUUUCAAUUACUUUUACUCCUUCAGUCAAGUGGGAUGUCUAUUAGAUGACACAUAAUCUACAUCUCACAUGACUGCUGCACUUGAGUUUAAUUAGCCAACUGUAGCUCUGUGUCAAAGCUAAAUUCUCUCUAUAUUUACAGCGUAAUCAACGUUGUUCUUUGUGAUUUAUGGGAUGUGUGGUAACGAGAUUUUCUAACGUAGUGAUUUCUUUUCCUGCCUUCUUUUCUGUGCUUCUUGGCAAUCAUGUAAAAGUGGGCAGGGAGAGAGGAGGGCAUGGCCCAAAAGCUGCUCUCAAGCCCCAGCCCCUGUUCGAGUGGGGUUGCACACUUACACACUGCUCAGCCUUUCCCUCAUUCCUCAGGCGAAAGAAAGAGGUGUGGAAUAGUAUUCUUUUCUUCUUUUUCAACCAACGCUUUUUGUUUUUUCUCUCAUCAAUACCUUUUCCUUAUUGCCAGUGUGUGACCGCUAGCCUGAUAUUGACAUAAAAAGACAUCAGGUUCAAAUGCCAGAUUUCCACACCUACCUGCCAAAUCAUCUGUCCUUAAGGCUGAGGAAACAGAAUAAGCCACGGUUCAAGCCAAGCCUUCAUGUACUUCGGAAGCUUCUUCAAUUAUGGAACUCAGAAAAGAAAUAAACGUUCAACUUAAAGGCAUCUGAAGACACAUGCAGGCACAGGAUUGUCAUUACCGAGCUGCUGCAAAGACGUUUAUUUAAAAAGACAUCAUUGUUUAAUGUUUGAGCAAGAAAGCAUUUUUUAAAGAACAUAGAUAUAUACUUGAAGUUGAGCCUAGCAAGGUGAGGUAGUAGGUUGUAUAGUUUGUGGGAUUGAGACAAUCCUACUCAGGUGAUAACUAUACAGUCUAUUACCUUCCUUGAAAGGUACAAUGAGUGCUUGGAAUCCCUCUCACUGGUUUAUCUACGUAGUGAAAGACUCUCUACCGCCACCGUGUGGCCAAAAUCUAAUAAAUGUCUACACUGAAGUAUGGAUAUAUUUGAAGUUUUAAAGCCAGAUGCUUUAAAGUUUAAAAUGUAAAUUUACAAUUAAAUGUAUUUAGUGGGAAUGUAUAGCAUUAAAAAAGAAACAAUGUUUGCUGAUUUUCAAUAUGGUUGGAUUUUUUAAUAAGAUAUUGAAACCCAUAAAUUUUGAAUUUAAAGAAAUGUAUACUUUGUAUAACACAAAUGUAUACUUUGUGUAAGUAACAGUCACGACCUUGGUGUAAAAUUAACCACACUAACAUUAACUGCUGAAGAAAGAGAAACAAACAAUUUUUUUGUCUCUACUUCCUUAGUCAUGUAUUUUGAAUAAAAAU